rnacentral:rRNA from 1 species
AUGGCUCACCGGCUGCUGCACGGCACCCUCCACGCCACCAUCCUGGAGGCCGACAACCUCACCAACCCCGACCGCGCCACCGGCGGCGCCCCCCAGAUCUUCCGCAGGUUCGUGGAGGGGUUCGAGGAGACGAUCGGGCGCGGCAAGGGGUCGACGCAGCUGUACGCAACCGUCGACCUCGGCAAGGCGCGCGUCGGCCGGACGCGGGUCAUCGCCGGCGACCCGGUGAACCCGCGCUGGUACGAGGACUUCCACAUCUACUGCGCCCACUUCGCCGCCGACGUCGUCUUCACCGUCAAGGCCGCGCAGCCCAUCGGCGCCACGCUCAUCGGCCGCGCCUACCUCCCCGUCCGGGAGCUGCUCGACGCCGGCGGCCGGGAGAUCGAGCGCCGGCUCGACGUCCUCGACCCGAGCAAGAAAAAGAUCCACCACGGGCCCACCAUACACGUGCGGCUCAGGUUCUGCGACGUCACCGCCAACCGCCGCGAGUGGGGCGCGGGCCUCGGCGGCGCGCGGCACCCCGGCGUGCCGUACACCUUCUUCUCCCAGCGGCCCGGGUGCAGGGUCACCCUGUACCAGGACGCGCACACCCCGGACGCGUUCGCGCCCAGGAUCCCGCUCUCCGGCGGCCGGACCUACCAGCAGGGGCGGUGCUGGGAGGACGUGUUCGACGCCAUCAGCGACGCGCGCCACCUGAUAUACGUCACCGGCUGGUCGGUGUACACCGAGAUCACGCUGAUACGGGACGGCUCCCGACCGCGCCCCGGCGGCGACGCCACCCUCGGCGAGCUCCUGAAGCGCAAGGCCAGCGAGGGCGUGCGCGUGCUCAUGCUGGUCUGGGACGACCGCACCUCCGUCGAGUCCCUCGGCAUGACGUGGGGGUACAUGGGGACGCACGACGCCGAGACGGCGGAGUACUUCCGCGGCACCGACGUGCAGUGCGUCCUCUGCCCGCGGAAUCCCGACAUCGGCAGAAGCGCCGUCAUGGGCUUGCAGACUGCCUACAUGAUCAGCCACCACCAGAAGAUCAUCGCGGUUGACCACGACAUGCCGGUGAGGGGCAGCUCGAGCCGCCGCCGCAUCGUCAGCUUCGUCGGCGGCCUCGACCUCUGCGACGGUCGCUACGACACGCAGUUCCACUCCCUGUUCAGGACGAUGGACACGGCGCACCACAAGGACUUCCACCAACCCAAUUUUGUCGACACGUCCAUAACCAAGGGCGGGCCGAGGGAGCCAUGGCAUGACAUCCAUGCCAAGAUCGAAGGUCCGGCCGCGUGGGACAUCCUCUACAACUUCGAGCAGAGGUGGAGGAAGCAAGGUGGUGACAAUGACCUCCUCGUCGAUCUGAGAGCCUUGGCGAACCUGAUCAUACCGCCAUCCACCGUGACAUUCCCCGAUGACCAGGAGGCGUGGAAUGUGCAGGUGUUCCGGUCCAUCGACGGCGGUGCGAGCUUCGGCUUUCCUAACACCCCUGAGCAAGCUGCUCGAUCAGGCCUUGUCAGUGGCAAGAACAACACCCUUGACAGGAGCAUCCAGGAUGCCUACAUCCACGCGAUACGCCGCGCACAGCACUUCAUCUACAUCGAGAAUCAGUAUUUCCUUGGCAGUUCAUUCGCGUGGAAGGCCGACGACAUAAGGCCGGAGGAAAUCGAGGCGUUGCAUCUGAUUCCCAGAGAGCUCUCGCUGAAGAUUGUGAGCAAGAUUGAGGCUGGUGAGCAUUUCGUGGCCUAUGUGGUGGUGCCAAUGUGGCCGGAAGGUGCUCCUGAAGGUGGAUCUGUGCAAGCAAUAUUAGAUUGGCAGAGAAGGACGAUGGACAUGAUGUACUAUGACAUUGCCAUCGCACUUCAGGCGAAGGGGAUCGACGCGAGCCCCAAGGAUUACCUCACCUUCUUUUGCUUAGGGAACAGGGAGGCGAAGAGGAGUGGAGAGUAUGAACCCGCUGAUCGUCCAUUGCCUGGGUCAGGCUAUGAAAAGGCACAGAACGCUCGUCGGUUCAUGAUCUAUGUUCACUCCAAGAUGAUGAUAGUUGAUGACGAGUACAUCAUCGUUGGAUCAGCCAACAUCAACCAGCGGUCGAUGGACGGGGGGAGGGACUCCGAGAUUGCCAUGGGCGCAUUCCAGCCACACCACCUCAACACCAAAGGCCAGGUUGCCAGAGGGCAGGUCCAUGGCUUCCGGAUGUCGCUGUGGUACGAGCACCUCGGCAUGCUGCACAACGACUUCCUCAACCCGGGAAGCCGGGAGUGCGUCCAGAGGGUGAACAAGAUGGCUGACAAGUACUGGGACCUCUAUGCCAGCGACGAGCUGAACGACGACCUCCCCGGGCACCUUCUCACCUACCCGGUUGCCGUGACGAAAGACGGCACAGUGACGGAGCUGCCCGGUGCGAGGUGCUUCCCCGACACGGCGGCUCCGGUGCUCGGAAUCAAAUCCAAACACCUGCCCCCUAUUCUCACCACAUAG